rnacentral:rRNA from 1 species
CUACGGGACGCUGCAGUGGGGAAUAUUGCACAAUGGGCGCAAGCCUGAUGCAGCCAUGCCGCGUGUAUGAAGAAGGCCUUCGGGUUGUAAAGUACCUUCAGCGGGGAGGAAGGGAGUAAAGUUAAUACCUUUGCUCAUUGACGUUACCCGCAGAAGAAGCACCGGCUAACUCCGUGCCAGCAGCCGCGGUAAUACGGAGGGUGCAAGCGUUAAGCGGAAUUACUGGGCGUAAAGCGCACGCAGGCGGUUUGUUAAGUCAGAUGUGAAAUCCCCGGGCUCAACCUGGGAACUGCAUCUGAUACUGGCAAGCUUGAGUCUCGUAGAGGGGGGUAGAAUUCCAGGUGUAGCGGUGAAAUGCGUAGAGAUCUGGAGGAAUACCGGUGGCGAAGGCGGCCCCCUGGACGAAGACUGACGCUCAGGUGCGAAAGCGUGGGGAGCAAACAGGAUUAGAUACCCGAGUAGUC